GACGUAGGUGGCGAACGUUAUCCGGAAUUAUUGGGCGUAAAGGGUGCGUAGGCGGCUUGAUAAGUUAUUGGCGGCAAAUCGAGGCUCAACCUCGUGGAAACUGAUAAUACUGUUUUGCUUGAGUACAGGAGAGGUUAACGGAACUCCAUGUGGAACGGUAAAAUGUGUAGAUAUAUGGAAGAACAUCAAUAAGGCGAAGGCAGUUAACUAGUCUGUUACUGACGUUGAGGCACGAAAGCGUGGGGAGCAAAAAGG
rnacentral:rRNA from 1 species